AACGAACGCUGGCGGCAUGCCUAACACAUGCAAGUCGAACGAGACCUUCGGGUCUAGUGGCGCACGGGUGCGUAACGCGUGGGAACCUGCCCUUAGGUUCGGAAUAACUCAGAGAAAUUUGAGCUAAUACCGGAUAAUGUCUUCGGACCAAAGAUUUAUCGCCUUUGGAUGGGCCCGCGUAGGAUUAGCUUGUUGGUGGGGUAAUGGCCUACCAAGGCGACGAUCCUUAGCUGGUCUGAGAGGAUGAUCAGCCACACUGGGACUGAGACACGGCCCAGACUCCUACGGGAAGCAGCAGUGGGGAACAUUGGACAAUGGGCGAAAGCCUGAUCCAGCAAUGCCGCGUGAGUGAUGAAGGCCUUAGGGUUGUAAAGCUCUUUUACCAGGGAUGAUAAUGACAGUACCUGGAGAAUAAGCUCCGGCUAACUCCGUG
rnacentral:rRNA from 1 species